GAUGAACGCUGGCGGCGUGCCUAAUACAUGCAAGUCGAGCGACCAGACGAGGAGCUUGCUCCUCUGACGUUAGCGGCGGACGGGUGAGUAACACGUGGAUAACCUACCUAUAAGUCUGGGAUAACUUCGGGAGACCGGAGCUAAUACUGGCUAAUAUAUUGAACCGCAUGGUUCAAUAGUGAAAGACGGUUUUGCUGACACUUAUAGAUGGAUCCGCGCCGCAUUAGCUAGUUGGUAAGGUAACGGCUUACCAAGGCGACGAUGCGUAGCCGACCUGAGAGGGUGAUCGGCCACACUGGAACUGAGACACGGUCCAGACUCCUACGGGAGGCAGCAGUAGGGAAUCUUCCACAAUGGGCGAAAGCCUGACGGAGCAACGCCGCGUGAGUGAUGAAGGUCUUCGGAUCGUAAAACUCUGUUAUUAGGAAAGAACAAAUGUGUGAGUAACUAUGCACGUCUUGACGGUACCUAAUCAGAAAGCCACGGCUAACUUCGUG
rnacentral:rRNA from 1 species